rnacentral:lncRNA from 1 species
CUGAUAGCUGUCAGGUCAGGCCACAGCUUUACUUAGGUUCCAAGUAGCUUCCUAGGAAUGAUAGGAUGAAAUGGGAAACAGGUUAGGAGGGGGUACAGAAAACCAGGUAUGAAGUCAAGGGAGUGACUCCUGUUCACAGGUAAACUGAAUCUAUUUCUUCAGCAAAUCUCUAUGUUAAAAUGAAAAGGAAGAGGUGACAUCCAAGUAGGUCUUAGAAAAAUAGUGCAGGCUGGGCAUGAGUCAUGUCAUUUAGCUUCUAAGUGUUUCUACCAUCCACAGACACCUACAGGUCCAGGAAGUCACUCUUAGGAUUUGGUAUCCCAAAAUAUCCCUCAUUGUUCCAGGCCACUUACUGCACACAGAAGUGUCCUGAUUUGCUUGUUCACCUAUCCCAAGGAGCCCCUGACAACUGUACAAGUUGCACUGAUUCCCCACUUCUGUAGAUAUGAGUAAGCUCAUGGCAGGGGCAAGAAAAGAGUCAACCAUAAGACGUUCUCUAAAUUAUUUCAAUACUGUCUUUGAAGACCUUGACUCAUUCUUAGACUAGUUCCAUAAAGAAAUUCCUACCCUCGUUAAAACUCUAAAAUUUCUAUUUCAAAUUCUUCAGGCAGUGGAGUAUUCUGGAGAAUGUCAGAAAUAGAUAAACUCUUGUGUCAAAGCAAUGAACAACAUUUCCCUCAGUAUGAAAAACUGCUGUCUGUUUUCAAGUUGCAACAAUAUAUCAGAAUUGAAGACAAAAGGAAAUUUCAUUUCCAACUUGCUCUGGUCACUUACAGAGGUGGCCUAUCAGUUGAGACAGGCUUGCUGUCCCUAGAUUCCCUUGAUCAAAAAAGCCACCUGACACCUCAGGGCUACCUGCUUCAGCCACCAGAGGUGUGUUCACAGGGACAUCGCUGAGAUGUUUAAUUGCCACCCUGCCUGUUUAUAAACUCAGGAGCACAGUGGCAAUGCAAAGGAGGGUGAACCUACAUCCCCAGCACAUGGGAAGCUUUUGUGGGUCUUCAGGCAGCGGAAAUUGCCCAGAAGUUUGACAGCGACUUUGUUUCCUGGGUCUGAAAUUAUAUCCCACUAAGGAAUCUGCAGUAGAGCAUAAUAUAUGCAAAACUCCUUUUUCUCACUCCAGAUCCUUUUUCUAUCCUACUCUCUCUCCUUGCCUGGUAUGACUUUUGCUUUGGAGGAAUGCCUGGACAUCUCGUGCUUUCUACAAAGUGGCACUCUGCCCAGGUAUAUGUGAAUGGGCCCCAAAGGCCAAAAUGCCAUAGCUUCCUUCUCUAAGUGUGACUGUCUUGAUAGAGUUUAUCCAGGGUAACUUGCUCAGUAACUAUUCCUUUUUUUUUUUUUUCCGGCCUGGGGUUGAAAGGUGCAUGGCUCAAAUUUGUGAAAAUAAAGAAGACCUAGUUUUAUCUUUUACUACUGGCUUCAUCCUACCAGCCACAGAGAUUUCUAUCCACAAAGACCCAUGAAACAUGGCAGAGAAAUGCAGACAAAGGAAAUGGCCACAUAUCACAAAUUCUAUUAUAUAUUCUUUUGUAAAUACACAUUGUACAUUUUUUGGAUGUUUUCCGAAAUCAUUUACUGUCUUUAUGAGUUAAUGUCAGUUUUUUUUUUUUAACUCUCUCAACUUACUGUGUAACAUUGUAAAUAACAUAAUGUCCUUUAUUAUUUAUAUUGAAACAUCUAACAUAGAGUUGUUUUCAUAUAAGUUUAAGAUAAAUGUCAAAAAUAUAUGUUUUUUUGUUUUUUCUUUGCUUUAAAAUUAUGUAUCUUUUCCUUUUUCUUUUUUUUUUUAAGAAUAAUUUAUUGUUCAGGAGAAAGAAUGUAUAUGUAAUUGAAACUAUUUGAAGAAUGCACAUUUGAAGGCCGUGAGGUACUGAUAAACUAAAGAAUUUAUUAUCCAAAAUACUAAGCAAUAAGUAAUUGUGAUUUAUUUAAAGUUCUGUUCCUUUUCCAUGAAAGACAUACUGCAAUAAAAAUGCCACUCUACGGCUAUCUGGGAGUGUUGGUCAGCAGACAGAUGGUCCAGUCUGUUAGACCAGCACCUUUCCUUUGACUGUGAUGCUUGUGCUAACUUAGGCCUGUGUUUGAUGGACCCCAUGAUCAUCUUGUCUGUCCAUUGCUUUUGCCACCCUGCCUAUUCUUGAGUCAUCUUCUGACUGUUGAUUGUGCUUACCACUGUAUUCCUGUUGAAGGGGUUACAACUUAGCAAUAUGAUAGUUUCUUCCCCUCCACCCCAACCUCAGACGCAAUAACAUAUCAGAAGGGACAUUUGAGGGCAAGAUUGCCGGGAUCCUAAUGAUAAUCAUUUUCAGUGGAGACAGCAAACAACUUCUUCAUGUCAGCGUGGAAACCCAUUCAGUCAUGGAAAGAAAACCCAUUACCGUGGUUCCAAUAAUCUGAUGACUGCUAGGGCCUGAAGACAGCCAGUCAGAACCCGGCUCUGCUAAGCUUGCCUGUAGCUUUCAUAAAUGUACUUUCUCCACCAGGCCCAUGAUUUAUCGAUUCACCAUUUUAAGAGAAAACAAGGCAAAAGUGGGUUCUUUCCUCUUCAUGCUGACUGUCUGUCAGUCAAACUCAUCAUCCUUCUUACUGCUCAGGGAAGGGCCUAUAUGUGAGACAUUUCCCACAUUCUAAGAUUUACCAUCUCUUCUUGAAAUUAGCCUAAAACGAAGCCAUAUUUUAGCAAAUAGCUCUUUGCAUGGGUGGUACUUUUUAUCUAUUUCCAGCCUCUUACUCAUUAUCCCAGAUGGGAUCAGGACUUCUGAAAUAGGUGGAGUCAGCAAUCCUCUGGGGUGACCAUGGGCCUCCUCUGGAGUUUGAGGGUGACCUGAAGCUCCCCAUCAAAAUCCACUUCUGAAUCAGUAUGCAAUUCCUAUUACCUGGUGAUAGAUCCACUCGUGUCAUCUCCAAAGCAGUCUGGGUGUCUAGGAGAUUCAAAGAGGGACUCUGUAGUGUGUUUUUUCUAUUGAUAUUACUGAAUUUUCAAAACUGGUCGGAAUCUUCAUAUUUGUAUCAAAAUGGGUGUACACACAAACACACAAAUACACACACAUACAAAUUCUUAACCCGCUAUUCUGAAGUCACCACAUUCACUCAUUUGUCCAAUUCACCCAACCAGCCAUUCAGCAAAUCAAGGAGUUCACAAAAUAUUUAAAAAUUAAAGAUGAAGACACUUCCCUGUGUCUUCCAUUUAUAGCUGAGGCUUUGCCCAUUCCCCAAAUGGAAAACUACAAGCAGCUGUCUUAGUAAUUGAGCUAAAAAUUGGGUGCCUAAAAUAUAUUGAUAUUGGAGGCAGAAGCCUGUGUGAUGGAGGGCAGUGUGGAGACAGCAGAGAUUCACAGGGAGCCACAUUAAAUAUCUAGAUAAUUAUUAAAUCCUCCAUUUACUUUAACCAUGUAGACCCUUGAAUGUCAAAUUCAGGCAAGCUUUGCAAACUAGCAAACAAUCUGUCUUUCCAACCUAAUGUCUUCCCCAUCAUUAGAUUUCUUGGUUCUCUGUCCUUAUGAUAAAUGACAACGGGACUUGAAGUCAGAGACUUGGGGUUAAGCAAGGCAAUUCUGAAAUCUGGAGGUUUAGGAGGCUGGAAGGAGUGGAAAAUUUUGAUGAUCUCAUGUAGUAUCACUUUGCACUCUAUCUCUGACUUGCUCUUUCUCAAAUGGAAGAAAUAAAAUAAACUGAUGGAAACU